AGAUAUGUAUUAAAUGUGAGACAUAUUCUGCUAGUUUUUCCUUAAAAAGUGUCACCUUUACAAUUGGUUUUCACAUCUUAGCCUCAAAAAGAACAGGAACUUGAGGGCCUUGAGACUGUUUCUUGGACCUACACAUGGGUAACGGUGACUCUCUGACAAGCCUCUUGUCAGGUGAAUUCAAUUAGUUCUGGUAAUGGCUAACCUCUCCUUCAAAUCCACGUGCUAGGUGGCCUACCCCAGUUGGCUAUAUUAACUGGCUAACUCAUUGGCCAAUAUUGACUAUAAGGGGUAUCAUCCUUAACUCCUAUCCAGAACCAAAUCCUGUAGCUUCCAUUUGCCUAACAUACCUUAAUCCUUCCUCUACUGCUCAUCCUCAUUGCCUCACCUAGGUUUAGAGCUUUGUUUGUUUGUUUUGGAACAGAGAUUUGCUCGUCACCCAGGUUGGAGUGCAACGGCAUGAUCUCGGCUUACUGCAACCUCUGCCUCUCGGGUUCAAGCAGUUCUCCUGCCUCAGCUUCCUGAGUAGCUGGGAUUACAGGUGCCUGGCACCAUGCCAAUCUAAUUUUUGUAUUUUUAGUAGAGACAGGGUUUCACCAUGUUGGCCAAGCUGGUCUCAAACUCCUGACCUCAGGUGAUCCACCUGCCUCGGCCUCCCAAAAUGCUGGGAUUACAGGCGUAAGCCACCACAUCCAGCCUAAAAAUGCUUGUUCCAUACAUUGCCAUGUAACUAACGAGUUAAGAACAAUAAAAAGGCUUGCUUUAGCAGCACAUAUACUAAAACUGGAAUGAUACAGAUAAGAUUAGCAUAAGUUCCUGUGUAAGGAUGACAUGCAAAUAAAUGAAGCAUUCCAAAUUUUUUUCCAAAAGAAAAAAAAGAAAAGAAUAAUAAAAAGUAAUAGAUUGUUGUUGUUGUUUUUGUUGUUGUUGUUGUUGUUUUGAGACGGAGAGUCUCACUCUGUCACCCAGGCUGGAAAGCAGUGGCGUGAUCUCGGCUCACUGCAACCUCCGCCUCCUGGGUUCAAGCAAUUCUUCCACCUCAGCCUCCCGAGUAGCUGGGAUGACAGGUGCACGCCACCAAGCCUGGCUAAUUUUUGUAUUUUUAGUAGAGACGGGCUUUCACCAUGUUGGCCAGGCUGGUCUCAAACUCCUGACCUCAGGUGAUCAUCCUGCUUCAGCCUCCCAAAGUGCUUGGAUUAUAGGUGUAAGCCACU
rnacentral:lncRNA from 10 species